GCCAUAUUGAGAACACUUAAAACCCUGUUCUCCUCAGAUGCUUAACCAGCCUCCUCCACACCCACGCCGACUGGGACAGUGAUGUGAUCAAUAUGACAUCAAUAAAGGGCACUGUCCAGAAGAAGUGAGUGGAUUCAUUUCAUAGAGCUCUAAUCUCUAAGUCUCUCUAAGACUGGUAAGAUAAGACACCCUUGGAAGAUGCUCACCUCUCCUUUCACUUUGAUGAUCUCAUUUUGAUUUGAGAAGUUAAAUCUUUUCAUAUUGAAAAGUCUCCCUCCUAAGUCAAUGUGAAGCAAGACAGACUGCCAGAGGACAGCUGAGAUCUCUAGGCACAAGAGAUGCUUGUCUAUCGGUUGGCUACAAGGACUUACCUCCAUUGACACAGUUCGUUGCCGCUCCUUGUCUGAAGCCCAGUGAUGCACAAUCCUCUCUCCAGCUCCCUCUCCCACCUCCCCAUACCACCACCACGGCAUCCUACGAUGAUGAAAAUAGCUGUCACAGCUGUGAUGACCUGGGGCUGAAAUGGUA
rnacentral:lncRNA from 1 species